CAGUGUAAUAUUCUUCAGUAAUGUAUCUUCUAACACAGCCUGAAGCUUCCUGUUUAUCUCUAAGGAGAGUUCCAAGGUGAGCCCACUGUCUGCAGGGUGAGAUGUGUACAGAGAUGCCAUGAUCCCCCCACGCCUGCUCAAGUGUACUUUGUUGAAGUCAGAGGCCUCUGAUGAAAGUGUUCCCGCUUCUUCCCGCAAAAUGUAACUCUGGAUAAUUCUGGAGUGAAAAACAAACCAGCAACAUCACAGCAUUACGAGUGCAUCAGCUCAACACUGAAAACCUGCAUGAACAGAACACAGAACAUACUUGGUUUUUUUCCUGAUUUCCUCCACCAGCUGUUUGAUGUGAUCCUCCAUAAACUCCAUCUUCUCAUUUUUUCGAGCAUGUGCCUUCUGCAGCCUCAGUAUUCUUUCCACCAGGACAGCCUUGUCCACCUCUGGGAAGCUGUCCACAGCCACUGCAGAGCCAGUGUUCUCGGGUGAGCGAUCCUCGGUGCUGCUGCGCGCGUUCAGGGACCCUGCCAACAACACAGGGUUUGGAAAAACUCCUCCACAGCCUACACCAGUGAGAUUACAGGACAUCUGGACAGACCUAACCCAACUUGAAACCUAAAGAUAUCAAGGAAGGAAACAUGCUGUUUUCAGCGCUAAAGAUCACUCCUGUACUUCUACUGGAUAGAAAAUAAUGAAUAUUACAUAAACCCACUGAUGUCUCUAAUGAUGCUAAUUGAUUUCUCAUUUACACAGUCACAACUGUCAA